rnacentral:rRNA from 1 species
UACGUAGGGGGCUAGCGUUGUCCGGAAUCAUUGGGCGUAAAGCGCGUGUAGGCGGUUCGGUAAGUCCGCUGUGAAAGUCGGGGGCUCAACCCUCGGAUGCCGGCGGAUACUGUCGGACUAGAGUACGGAAGAGGCGAGUGGAAUUCCUGGUGUAGCGGUGAAAUGCGCAGAUAUCAGGAGGAACACCUAUUGCGAAGGCAGCUCGCUGGGACGUAACUGACGCUGAGACGCGAAAGCGUGGGGAGCAAACAGG